UACGUAGGGGGCAAGCGUUAUCCGGAUUUACUGGGUGUAAAGGGGGCGCAGACGGCGAUGCAAGCCAGGAGUGAAAGCCCGGGGCCCAACCCCGGGACUGCUCUUGGAACUGCGUGGCUGGAGUGCAGGAGGGGCAGGCGGAAUUCCUGGUGUAGCGGUGAAAUGCGUAGAUAUCAGGCAGAACUCCGAUUGCGAAGGCAGCAUACCGGCGCCCUACUGACGCUGAGGCACGAAAGCGUGGGUAUCGAACAGG
rnacentral:rRNA from 1 species